rnacentral:rRNA from 1 species
GGUGAACGCUGGCGGCGUGCCUAAUACAUGCAAGUCGAGCGAACAGAUAAGGAGCUUGCUCCUUUGACGUUAGCGGCGGACGGGUGAGUAACACGUGGGUAACCUACCUAUAAGACUGGAAUAACUCCGGGAAACCUGGGCUAAUGCCGGAUAACAUUUAGAACCGCAUGGUUCUAAAGUGAAAGAUGGUUUUGCUAUCACUUAUAGAUGGACCCGCGCCGUAUUAGCUAGUUGGUAAGGUAACGGCUUACCAAGGCAACGAUACGUAGCCGACCUGAGAGGGGUGUCGGCCCACUCUGAACCUGGAACCGGGCCAACCCCCAAGGGGGGGCAGGAUGAGGGAAAUUUGCGGAAGGGGCGAAAGCCUGACGGAGCAACGCCGCGUGAGUGAUGAAGGUCUUCGGAUCGUAAAACUCUGUUAUUAGGGAAGAACAAAUGUGUAAGUAACUGUGCACGUCUUGACGGUACCUAAUCAGAAAGCCACGGCUAACUACGU